AGCAUCCUACGGGGCGCAGCAGUGGGGGAUAUUGGACAAUGGGGGAAACCCUGAUCCAGCGAUGCCGCGUGAGGGAAGAAGGUUUUAGGAUUGUAAACCUCUGUGGAGGGGGACGAUAAUGACGGUACCCCUUUAGGAAGCCACGGCUAACUACGUGCCAGCAGCCGCGGUAAUACGUAGGCGGCGAGCGUUGUCCGGAAUUACUGGGUGUAAAGGGAGUGUAGGCGGGAAAGCAAAGCAGAAAAGAAAAAUA
rnacentral:rRNA from 1 species